GCCUGUUUAUCAAAAACAUCGCCUCUUGAAUUUGAUAAGAGGUCCAGCCUGCCCAGUGACCACAGUUCAACGGCCGCGGUAUCCUAACCGUGCGAAGGUAGCGUAAUCACUUGUUCUUUAAAUGGGGACUAGUAUGAAUGGCAUCACGAGGGUUAUACUGUCUCCUUUUUCCAAUCAGUGAAACUAAUCUCCCCGUGAAGAAGCGGGGAUAAGACCAUAAGACGAGAAGACCCUAUGGAGCUUUAAAUUUCUCUUCAAACGCCGGCUAAUUUAGUAAGUCGUAGACCCCCUCCCCCUAACCCUAGCGCCAUGAAGACGACUUUUAGGUUGGGGUGACCGCGGAGUACAAAAAAACCUCCACAUUGAACUAGGCUCCCAAGCCCUGAGCAAAGGGCCACAACCCUAUGCACUAAAAAACUAACAUCCAUUGACCCAAUACCUCUUGAUCAACGAACCAAGUUACCCUAGGGAUAACAGCGCAAUCCACUUCAAGAGUCCAUAUCGACAAGUGGGUUUACGACCUCGAUGUUGGAUCAGGGUAUCCCAGUGGUGCAGCCGCUACUAAUGGUUCGUUUGUUCAACGAUUAAAACCCU
rnacentral:rRNA from 1 species